rnacentral:lncRNA from 1 species
GCUGGUCUAGUUUGCUCCCACUGGGCUCGACCCGAGGGGUAGGGUGUCAAGAGAGCAGGGCUCUCCCGUUGCUCCCAGGUCCGACUCUAUUAGUUGGCUAGGGGAAUCAAACCACAUAUUGAUUGACAUCUGGCUGGUCCAGUUUGCUCCCACUGGGCUCGACCCGAGGGGUAGGGUGUCAAGAGAGCAGGGCUCUCGGGAGAGCUGCAGCUCUCAGCUUCCGUUCACGAGGGCGUGAACUUGCAGGGAAGCGUGGUGGAUUGUAAGCAACCAAAAAGAACGACUUGAGAGAUGGUCCAUGGGGUUCAAAUAUAGAGGGAAAGGGC